rnacentral:rRNA from 1 species
AGAGUUUGAUCCUGGCUCAGAACGAACGCUGGUGGCAUGCCUAAUACAUGCAAGUCGAACGAGAAAGCACUUCGGUGUGAGUAGAGUGGCGCACGGGUGAGUAACGCGUAGAUGAUAUGCCUUUUAGUGGGGGACAACAUCGUGAAAACGGUGCUAAUACCGCAUAAGCUAAGUGAAAUUGAAAACUUAGGAAAGGGGGCUUCGGCUCUCGCUAGAAGAUUGGUCUGCGUGACAUUAGCUUGAUGGUGGGGUAAUGGCCUACCAUGGCGACGAUGUCUAACUGGUCUGAGAGGAUGAUCAGUCACACUGGAACUGAGACACGGUCCAGACUCCUACGGGAGGCAGCAGUGAGGAAUAUUGCGCAAUGGGGGCAACCCUGACGCAGCAAUGCCACGUGAGUGAGGAAUGCCUUCGGGUUGUAAAGCUCUGUCCUAUAGGAAGAACUGCAUUAUGGUUAAUAGGGACUGGACGGUACCUGCAAAUGAAGCACCGGCUAACUCCGUGCCAGCAGCCGCGGUAAUACGGAGGGUGCAAGCGUUGUUCGGAUUUAUUGGGCGUAAAGCGCGCGCAGGCGGAUUAGCAAGUCAGAUGUGAAAUCCCAGGGCUCAACCCUGGAACUGCGUCUGAAACUGUUAGUCUAGAAUCAUAGAGGGGGAAGGGGAAUUUCACGUGUAGGGGUAAAAUCCGUAGAGAUGUGAAGGAACACCAGUGGCGAAGGCGCCUUCCUGGAUAUGUAUUGACGCUGAGGCGCGAAAGCGUGGGGAGCAAACAGGAUUAGAUACCCUGGUAGUCCACGCCGUAAACGAUGAGUACUAGCCCUUGGAGGUAUUGACCCCUUCAGGAGCAAAGCUAACGCAUUAAGUACUCCGCCUGGGAAGUACGGUCGCAAGACUAAAACUCAAAGGAAUUGACGGGGGCCCGCACAAGCGGUGGAUUAUGUGGUUUAAUUCGAAGCAACGCGCAGAACCUUACCUAGGCUUGAAAUCCCUCGAAUCCGACGUAAUUGUUGGAGUGCUCGCAAGAGAAUGAGGUGACAGGUGCUGCAUGGCUGUCGUCAGCUCGUGUUGUGAAAUGUUGGGUUAAGUCUCGCAACGAGCGCAACCCCUAUCUUUAGUUGCCAGCAUUAAGUUGGGCACUCUAGAGAGACUGCCCGGGUUAACCGGGAGGAAGGUGGGGAUGACGUCAAGUCCUCAUGGCCCUUAUGCCUAGGGCUACACACGUAAUACAAUGGUGCACACAAAGGGAAGCGAUCACGCGAGUGUUAGCAAAUCUCAAAAAGUGCAUCUCAGUCCGGAUUGGAGUCUGCAACUCGACUCCAUGAAGUUGGAAUCGCUAGUAAUCGCAGAUCAGCACGCUGCGGUGAAUACGUUCCCGGGCCUUGUACACACCGCCCGUCACACCAUGGGAGUUGUUUUCAUUUUAAGACGUGACUCUAACUUCGGAGGAGAGCGUCUACAGUGGGAGCGAUGACUGGGGUGAAGUCGUAACAAGGUAAAUC